rnacentral:rRNA from 1 species
UGGGGAAUAUUGCACAAUGGGCGAAAGCCUGAUGCAGCAACGCCGCGUGAGGGACGACGGCCUUCGGGUUGUAAACCUCUUUUAGCAAGGAAGAAGCGAAAGUGACGGUACUUGCAGAAAAAGCGCCGGCUAACUACGUGCCAGCAGCCGCGGUAAUACGUAGGGCGCAAGCGUUAUCCGGAAUUAUUGGGCGUAAAGAGCUCGUAGGCGGUUUGUCGCGUCUGCUGUGAAAACCCGAGGCUCAACCUCGGGCCUGCAGUGGGUACGGGCAGACUAGAGUGCGGUAGGGGAGAUUGGAACUCCUGGUGUAGCGGUGGAAUGCGCAGAUAUCAGGAAGAACACCGAUGGCGAAGGCAGAUCUCUGGGCCGUAACUGACGCUGAGGAGCGAAAGGGUGGGGAGCAAACAGGCUUAGAUACCCUGGUAGUCCACCCCGUAAACGUUGGGAACUAGUUGUGGGGUCCAUUCCACGGAUUCCGUGACGCAGCUAACGCAUUAAGUUCCCCGCCUGGGGAGUACGGCCGCAAGGCUAAAACUU